rnacentral:tRNA from 1 species
GGGGGCGUAGCUCAGCCCGGUAGAGCACCCCGCGUCCUGGACCCCGUAACCCCUUGCUGGUCACACCGGCGGUAGGUACGGGGCCAGGCCGGGCCGGUCGCUGGUUCAAAUCCAGCCGCCCCCA